rnacentral:rRNA from 1 species
UACGGAAGGCAGUAGUGGGGAAUAUUGCACAAUGGGCGAAAGCCUGAUGCAGCUAUGCCGCGUGUAUGAAGAAGGCCUUAGGGUUGUAAAGUACUUUCAUCGGGGAGGAAAAACAAAACUAAUAAUUUUAUUUCUUGACGUUACCCGAAAAAGAAGCACCGGCUAACUCCGUGCCAGCAGCCGCGGUAAUACGGAGGGUGCUAGCGUUAAUCAGAAUUACUGGGCGUAAAGAGCACGUAGGUGGUUUUUUUAAGUCAGAUGUGAAAUCCCUGGGCUUAACCUAGGAACUGCAUUUUGAAACUGAAAUACUAGAGUAUCGUAGAGGGAGGUAGAAUUCUAGGUGUAGCGGUGAAAUGCGUAGAUAUCUGGAGGAAUACCUGUGGCGAAAGCGGCCUCCUAAACGAAUACUGACACUGAGGGUGCGAAAGCGUGGGGAGCAAACAGGGAUUAGAUACC